rnacentral:tRNA from 1 species
UCCCUAGUGGUCUGGUGGUUGACUCUGCACUUCUAAUGCAAGGGGCACGGGUUUGAUCCCUGUAUCGGGAA